rnacentral:rRNA from 1 species
CCCUUAGAUGUUCUGGGCCGCACGCGCGCUACACUGACGGAGGCAGCGAGCGUGUCCUUCGCCGGCAGGUGCGGGCAAUCUUGCGAGUCUCCGUCGUGCUGGGGAUGGAUGGUUGCAAUUGUCGAUCUUGAACGAGGAAUUCCUAGUAAGCGCGAGUCAUCAGCUCGCGCUGAUUACGUCCCUGCCCUUUGUACACACCGCCCGUCGCUACUACAGAGUGCCCGUGUCCAAGAAACGGUCGGACCUGUGCGGCCUCUCCGGGCGACCGGAGGGCCGUUACGGGGAAGACCCUUUAUUUGACGCGGGUCGAUGAAGUAAAAGUCGUAACA